rnacentral:lncRNA from 1 species
AAAGAAGUCUUUUUAAUCUUCUGGAAUUAAGGAGUUCGUUUUCAUCCACAAAGUUCUUUUUGUUUAUGUCCUCGGUCUGAUUAUUCUACUGGAGGGUAUGCAGAUGGCCACACAUCCCUUUUCAUCAACGCCCCUCGAAAUAAAGUCCUAAAAAUACCAGCGGCAAUUAACAUUUCGGCAUCUCCUUUCUGGUUAGUAGCCAUCUUUAUGGAAUGUCUGUGUUUGAAUUAGAUCAGUAUUAGACAAGCAGAGACAGAUUAAAAAAAAGAUAAAGGGCAGAGGAGUAGUGCAUUUCCUCCAUCUCCCAAUCAGAAACUUUAGCUGUGCCUUCCAACGGCUUCACAGGAAUCAAAGUAAAAUCUGGGCCAAGGUUCAAAAAUUAAUUGCAUAAGUGGAAGACCAAUAGUCAAAAAGCAAAAAUCAAAAAGGAACACAGUAAGAAACUUAUUAAAAGGAAAAAAAAAAUCUAGUUUUAGGUACAAAUACAUAGUUCGAGACCCAGUGCAGUGACGUGUUUGGUGAAAAAGGCUGAUGUGCUUUCACUACAGUCUUAGAGGCACAGCAUUCAGAGGAGGGGAAAGAAAUGGUUUCACUUCUCUCUACACUCACCAGGCAGCUGCUAGAAAGCUCAGUUCAAGUCUGCAGGCCAGGACCCCAGAAGCGAAGGGGAGAAACUCAGGUGAUUAGAAUGGGGGGAUGAUUUUCCUAUGAGCAACUGGUCAGGAAGCCAUGCUGCAGGUAAAGCCACAAUUGAUACUUUAACAUGACAAAGGAUAAGAGAUCCUGUUCUCUCCCAAGUUCUGCUGAGAUGGAAAAGUCUGCAGGAAAUGGAGUUGUUAUGGGGACCAGGAGAUGGAAGAGGGGAUGGAGCCGAUGAUGGAAGGGAGAGCUCCCUGGAGCACGUGGAGUUUGGUGGCUGACACUAGAAGACGGGCAAGGCCAGCCGUUGGAGUUUGCACACGUUUAAGGGUGGCACGGGGAGGGUGGGAUUCCUGUACAGGGAGCAGCACAUGUCAAAGCAAAAACUUUCCAUGCUGCAAUCUUCUCAAGAGCCGUGGUGACAGCAACCACAGCCCAUACUCAGGAGACGCCACCUCCCGUCGGCCAAGACGGCCACUCUGGUCCCAUGAGCGCUUUGUCAGCAGUGCUCCACAGUGCUCUUAUUAAUGGUACUGCGCCUCGGGUCUUCCCAGGACAGAGCCUCCCCCGUAGCCCCUGCUGGAGCUCCUCUCUACGUACACAGGUGACAGUGUCUGGUGCACGCUUCCUGAGCUGUUUUGCAGAUGCCAAAACCCCCACCAAAGGGAAGGAGUUAACUACCUGAUGGCCACGAGCCCCCAGGACUAUGGACGCCUGAGGACGGAUAACUCAGCCACUCUGCGACCUCGCCGUCAGCCAGUCAGAGACCUGCGCCCAGCUGACCACAAACCUGCAGCGCGCCCCUCCCUCACACAGCCUUGGAAGAUGCUUUACUGAAACCCUUGGGGAGUUCAGGGUUUUCUGGGCAUGAGCCACCUCGCUUGGGCCUGCAACAAACCUGGCUCUGCUCUAAACUCCGACGUUUUCCGUUUCUUUGGCUUCACCGUGCAUUAGACACAUGAUUUCACAUUCUGUAAUACAGUAAUGACCAGGUUCAUCUGAAGCUAUUAAUCGGGCUAUAUGGUAACCAAAUACAUUACUUUAGCCUUCCUGCAUUUCAAAUUGAACAUGCUAAUGCUGUUAUUUAGUUCAACCCUUUUAUCCUUACCUCUAGUUGACCGAAAGUUAAAAAAAAACGACUGUUUAAAUAUAAUACAAUUACGAUGCUCAUAUCACUUUAUUUUAUAACUUGUAGAGGUUAAGUCUAUGUUUUCAGGAUAUUCUUUAGUUCUUCUGCUAUACGACACGUGAGGAAAAGCAGGCUGAUGUCACGCUCUUGGCAUGACUUGAUUUCAGAUUUUAUUCUUUAGAGGAAAGAAAAACACUGGCCAGGGGAGAAAUCAUUUCUAAGAAAGAUGUGAAGCUGACAAGGGCACCGAAAGAAAUGCCCUCGGGCACCAAUGGGAUGGCUUGACCGUCCACGGAUGGUCUUACACUGAGUUUCUUUUAAGGGAAGCUGUGAAAUCAGUCUCAUUGUCUGGAAAUUUGAAGUGGGAUUCAGUGUGAAGUGAAAGUCUUAAAGAAAAAUUCUGCUUUGGAAGAAGAGUUGAACCAAUUUUUUUAAAUUCAACUUUUAGGAGUGAGAUGAUUUUUAUUUUUGCAAUAACGUACGAUGCUUUUCCUUGAUUGACUAUUUUUAGUGAACUGUCCUCUGGGUAUCUAUAUAAAUCUAUUCUGAGCACUAUGUUCUUUCAUCAAGUGACCAAGAAGGCCUGUCCCAUUUCCUUUCCUGGUCCUCUAAGGACAAAUGGAACAACCAUCAUUUUCAGAUGUUUUCCUCUGUCCUUCCUGGGUAAGAUGUUGGGGAGGUUUGUCCGUGGGCUAGGCCAACAAUCCUAGCACUCCGUGAUGAGAAACACAACUAUGUGUGAAAUACCAGGUGUUAAAUGAUGAGGAAUUCCCCCCAAGGCCUUCGAGUGAAGAAACCGCCUUCCCGUUGCGGUGUCCUGCUGGAAUUGUCUGGGCUCCUGGUCAGUCUUUGCUUCCCUUGGGUUACGGGCUGUAGCUGGGGUGGAGGGUGCUCGCAGUACAGUCUGGUAAAGAGCUGUGACUCCUGCCCUCAGGGGCUGGUGCACCCUGGCUGCCCAGGAGUAAGUCUUGCCACUUCUUGGAGUCGAGUGGGAUAGGGCAGAACGUUAACGGCAACCUGAACAAAACCCUCUGCUCCCCAGACAGUCACAGCUCCUCAUCACUGCAAACUCCUGUCCUCGAAGCUUUGGGAACAUGUCUUUGACCAAAUCUAAGGAAGGCUAGUCUUACUGACAAAUGCUGAAUACAGGUUCAAUGGAUACACCCGACCUUGACAUUAAGGCUCUUUUGAAACGUAUCUCCUAUCUUCACAAGGCUUAAGAAAGGCCAUUAUCACCACGAGACUAUUUUGUCAAAAAACCAUACAGAGCUGAAACCUGCCCGUACUUUAGUUUUAUUAAGGAGAGACCAACUUCAGCAUUAAGUUGGUUUGUCCUCUGUUUCUUUAUCUAAAACAGACUUUAAGUUUGCAGACCCGUCAACUGCCUUACAAAGACAACAUUUUAAUAAAACCAUGGAUGCUGACACUGCAGCUGAGAACUUAUGAGGCCAAAGACGUUAUUUAUCCAGAAGAAUUACUUCCAUCUCAUUUUGCUUUUGCUUUCUUUUGCUUUUUUCUUUCUGGUUCCAAAUCUUUAGGAAUUACCCAUCCUAAGAGUGUUCCAAAUACAAACACUCUGUCCCCAUGGUGGGACUCUCAUGCCCUCGUGGUGACACAGGGGAAAACGGCCAUCAACACAGGGCUUGUACUGGGUUACUGGCAGGCCUAUUCCUGCUUCAAUUCUUCUAGAACUUAAACUUCCAGGCUGGACAGAGAGCGGAAAGAGACAGGGAUAUAUUGAUUUUCCUAAGCAGCGGGGACACACGCCCUCUGAAGGCUUGCUUUGUGCUUCCCAUGUGAGUCCGACAUCUGACAGCUUGAAUGAUUUGGUUGUCUACACCACAAUGAGCUAGUUUGGGUGGGAUGUCAGAGGGCUCAGAGCCGUGGACGAUUCAGGCUCUCAGGUUGGGUAGCUUCUUAGGAAAAUUCUGGAAUGCUGAAGCAUUAAAAAAUAAACUUAUAUUCCCCUUAGUGCCAGUCAUGCCCGGAGCAUCUUGGGCUUUAAUGAUUAAGGACGUGGCCCGACCUCUGAUCAAGAAGAAGAAAAGGGCAGAGAAAAGACCACCUCUGGACCCCUUCGUGAGAAACUGCACACGUCGCUUGGCUCGGUCACUUCUGCCAUUUCUCUUGGGUUGCUAUUCACUAUGCUCUCUAGGAGAAAAUAAGAGUCCUUUACAAAAUCUGCAAAACAAUCUGCUAGUUCUCUCUUCAGCACAGAAGCAGCCAGGGGUAAGAGAGCUGAGACGCAGGGCGUCGCCGCGCGUGCAGACUGCCUCGGGGAACUGGAGUUGCUGCUUCUUCAUGUGAAGACUCAAGCUUUUCGGCCUCUCAUCCUCUCACGUGAGGGAGGACAAAUUCAGAGUCAACCUCUCCAUUUUCAGAGGGGCAUUUAGAAAGCACAUCUUGUUUGGCAAGAAUUCUGCUCUGGUCUUUUUAGAAAUCCUGCCAUUGUUGACAAAGAAUGGCCUGGAAGUGAGUAACGCAAGACAAAGGUCUGGCCCUCCUUCCCUCACAGAAGAGGAAGCGUUUCAGUGCUGUACUUGUCCAAACAUUCCACCAGGAGGAAGGAAGACGCGGAUUUCCCCAAGCAGACGGAGUCUGGCUCAGAAGAGGCAGGGCCUGGUCGUCCACAGGCUCCCGGAGGCUGCGUGGGCUCCCAGGCAGCACACGGAUCGGUACGGCCGCCGUCUCCGGGCUCCGAACACACACACAGGUGUCCCUGGAGGCCGUGAACGGAAGCCCGUGGCCCCAGAGCGGUCGUUAACGCCGGAGUCCAUUAAUUCUUCUGCCACCGUUCCUGGGGCUGGUGGCCAGUGUGGACACCUGGUCUCCCUGAGGUUCUGCCGGCUGCGGCCACUGCCUGGAAUCCACACAAAGCCGCUUGUGGUCCUUGCCACCCCCGCUGACCCGCCGACCCAAGGGGUCACUUUGGAGCUUCUGCAAAAACCAUGCUUUCACCAAUGUCCCAGUUUUCUAGAAAAACCUCUGACAGCAGUUUAUGGUCAAAGAGAUGGGAGAAGGGGGACCUGCCCAGGUUAAAAAAAAAGGGUUAUUGUCUCUCUCAACUUCAUUCCUCUUCUCCCUGAGCGCCGAGACUUUCUAUUCUUUGCUUCUUUUGAUGGAUGUAAAUUCAAAAGGGAACAUACGGGCGUGUGGUUCUCUCAGAAAGAAUCAGCGGGCUUCCCAGGGUAUUUACAGGGCAGCAGACACUCGCACCAGGGAAGAGCUGUCAGUAGUAACACCUGGAUGCGUGUUCUCUUUUCACGAUGAAGGAAUGCGGCUCAGGCUGCCAGGGCAGGGUGUGUGUGUGCGUGUGUGUGUGUGUGCGUGUGUUACUUCGCUCACCACAGGCUUCAUCAUUCCUCACGGAGCGUGCCGCUGCUGUCACUGUGGUCUCCGCUGCGCCAUCAACCGUCAAACGCCUGUUGGCUGUGGCCGCAAAAAGCACCUGUGUCGUGGGCAAUCCCUCAGGAGGGUGGCGAAUGCUGAGCUUAAUUUUCACGACUGAUUUCAUGACUCCUGUCAUCUAAUGAUGGGCUUUCUGGUGGGAGACAUGGGCAUCCAGGCUCAAGCUGUCAAGCUUCAGAUAAGGGACACAAGGGUUGCGGGGUCACGGAGAUGCGUUUUUCCCUAAGCGCUGACUAUCCGUCAUCAGGUUCUGUCUGUCCUGAGUCUAUCCAAUGAGGUAGUAUUAAAAUUUUGCCUUUUUAGGAUUUUAAUAAUGUAUGCUUCCUUUUGGAGGGGCUCCAAACUGGCCUGUUUCCUGUCAAACUCUGACUGGUGCUAUGAAGGUCCUUUGAAAUGAAAUGUUUCUCAUGUUGGGGGGGGCGGGGGAUGGGGCGGAGGAGUAAGCCGGAGAUUCUGUAAUCGCUCCUCUCUGUUCCAGCUGCACAAUUAAACCAUUUCUACCACACCUGAUUAGAAGUCCCACUUUUUUUCCUUUUAGGGCCACACCUCAGCAUGUGGAAGUUCCCAGACUAGGGGUCGAAUCGGAGCUGCAGCUGCCAGCCUACACCACAGCCACAGCAACACCAGAUCCAAGCGACCUACACCACGGCUUAUGAUGAUGCUGGAUCCUUAACCCAUUGAGCGAGGCCAGGGAUCGAACCCACAUCCUCAUGGACACUCGUCAGAUUUGUAACCUGCUGAGCCACAAUGGGACCUCCCAAAUUUGAACCUGAAUUAACUAAACUGAGGUAAAAUCCAAAUUUAGUUCGUCAUUUCACCAACCACAGUUCAAGCAUUCAAACGGCCACGGAGGGCGAGGCAGGCAGAGACUCCUAUAUCUGCAGACACUCUUUCCGGAGGGCUCAGGCCUCGAACAUGAGCUGCAAAGACCCAGGACUUGUCUGCUUCUGCACCCUGCUGCCUAGACGGGGCCUGACACGGACGUGCAAACAAUUUCUAUUGAAUGAAUGCCUUCGUUUUGAAAUUCCAGCGGCCAGCGACAGCUCUGUCAUCUAGUGCCCCAGGGCGGGGCCACGUUUCCUGGCCUCUUUUUCGACGAGACCUCAACCCCAACUGACCGGACGACCAGAGUAGGACCCUCGCCAGCUCUUCCGCAAGAGCUCGGUGACG